rnacentral:rRNA from 2 species
GGAAAGAUGAAAAGAACUUUGAAAAGAGAGUUAAACAGUACGUGAAAUUGUUGAAAGGGAAACGAUUGAAGUCAGUCAUACCAACGGGAAAUCAACCUUUUGAGCUUUGUCUCGUGGGUUCUGAAGAGUUUAAACGCCUUCGGGUUUGCGAGAUUGGGAUCUUCUGGUGUACUUUCUCGUACGAUUAGUCAACAUCGGUUUUGGAUGCCAUAAAAUGACUGGAGGAAUGUGGCUUCGAUCUCGUAUCGAAGUGUUAUAGCCUUUGGUAGAUGUGAUGUUUGAGACCGAGGAUUGCAACGGAUACCCUUUAAGGGCUAUUCGUCUGAUCUCUGAUACGUUACCUUGACGUUGAAAGCUUGCUUAUGAUGUUAGGGUAUUACGGUCAAAAGGUUAGAACGGAUUAAAUUCGUUAAGGAUGUUGACGUAAUGACUUUAAACGACCCGUCUUGAAACACGGACCA